UCUACAUCUUAGUAUCGAGAUUAAAGCGGAAGAAGGAGAAAUGGAAGAAAUCACCAACCUAUAGGGUCGAGGUUCACCCUGGGAAACUUUGAAGAAUCUUGAAGAUGGAGAUGAAGAGAGAAGACCAGAGGAAGAAAACCAUCGUUUUCAAGUUUUACUCAAAGUCGACUCAAUUCUAGGUGAAAGCUUGCCAAGCAUCAAAAAGAGGGAGAAUGUAGUUGCAUGUCCCUAAUACAUUCAGGGGGAGAACCCACAAUAUGUUUAUUUUGUUGCUUGGUUUGUCACUUUUAUUUUUAUUUACUUUCAAUUAUUGAGUCUCCUUCAUGAUUGCACCUCUUUGGAUCAAGUUUUGAAAUGAUUCAUUUUUAGCAUGCAUAAACAAUUGGCUAGGUUUUCACUUGAUCAUGAUGUUUUUAAUCAAUUGCAUGAGUCAUAUAUGUUAUUGAUUCAAGUUAGAUGGAAAGAAAAAUCUCAAAGUCAUUUGAAAAUCAUGAAAAAUUGAGAUUUUGGGUGUUUGAUUUGAAUUAAGCACAUAUCCUGAUUCAAAUCACUUUGGGCAGGGGAAAAUCAUAAAUUUCCAAACAAUUUGAUUUGAAUAAAUUUUUACACAUGAUUGGAACCAGCCAAUUACGAGUCACCUCUGCUAGAAUUGAUUUGAAUAAGACUUUAUACCUCAUUCGAAUCAGACAAUUUUCCAUAAUUUUUAUUUGGCUCAGCUUGAUUGAGUCGAAUCAAAAUUAACACAUGAUUCGAAUCACGGGGUCUUUGAUUUGAAUUAGACUUUGCUCUUGAUUCGAAUCAACUAAAAAAUGGGUCAAAACUUUGUUUUUCUUUUAUUCCACUUCACUUGUUCGGUUGAUUUAAAUCAUGAAAUACUCUUGAUUCGAAUCUAACUAACUUUUCAACCAUAUUUUGUGUUUAAUCUCAAGCACAUAUAAACCCUUUUUGUCAUCAUUUUUCAAGUAACAAAUCAACAAAUUCAAAAUCCUUUGUGUGUGAUUCUGUGAAAAAUCAAUACCCAUUAUUUUUGAAAGUUUAAAGUUCUUGCAACGAACUUCUUACAUCUUCAACUUCAGCUUGACUUCAGAUCUUGAUCAUGAGAGAUUUGUAAUUUUAUUGUAGAAGACGAUGUCUUAAAACUAAUCGUUAUUGAAUAUUAGGUAAAGAUUCUCAGAUAGCUUGCAAGAUUGAGGUUGUUGUCAUUAGUGCUAAGAAAUUCCAGUGAAAAGAAUGGGGUUCUUCUUUCCAGAUUGGCUUGGUAGUGGUUGUGUAGAAGGCCACAGAUAAGGCUGAGUUUUUCUCAAAUCUUCGAAAAAUUUAUUGCUCAAGGAAUUGGUAGGAUCAAUGCGUUGAUUACUACAUAUAAUACUUAGAUCAAAUUUUUGAGAUUGGAAGGUUCAAUAAGUGUUAAUCGAGUAAAAUUAUGCAGAAGAGUUUGUCAUUAUUAUGUAUACACGUCAAAAUUCAGAUAUGAAAUUUUAUAAAUCUCAA